CAGCUAGUUGGUGAGGUAACGGCUCACCAAGGCUUUGAUCGGUAGCCGGUCUGAGAGGAUGGCCGGCCACACUGGAACUGAGACACGGUCCAGACUCCUACGGGAGGCAGCAGUGGGGAAUAUUGCGCAAUGGGCGAAAGCCUGACGCAGCGACGCCGCGUGGGGGAUGAAGCUUCUCGGAGUGUAAACCCCUUUCGACCCGGACGAAUGACCCGCAAGGGUUUGACGGUACGGGUAUAAGAAGCCCCGGCUAACUACGUGCCAGCAGCCGCGGUAAUACGUAGGGGGCCAGCGUUGCUCGGAAUUACUGGGCGUAAAGGGUUCGUAGGUGGUGCGGCAAGUUGGAAGUGAAAUCUCUGGGCUUAACCCAGAGGCUGCUUUCAAAACUGCCGCGCUCGAGUGCGAGAGAGGUCAGUGGAAUUGCAGGUGUAGCGGUGAAAUGCGUAGAUAUCUGCAGGAACACCCGUGGCGAAGGCGGCUGACUGGAUCGCAACUGACACUGAGGAACGAAAGCUAGGGGAGCAAACAGGAUUAGAUACCCUGGUAGUCCUAGCCCUAAACCAUCGGAACUUGGGGUGGCCCGCGUAGGCGGGUCGUCCCGUAGCUAACGCGUUAAGU
rnacentral:rRNA from 1 species